AUCUCAAGGCUACUGGUCGAUGACCCAUUUUAUGCCCAAUGAAAAGUUCUAUAUACCUGCUUUGUAUACGAUUACUGCGCAACGUGACGUGCUAUACAAUUUUUACAACGUGACGUGUUACACAGCAGUAUUUCCAACGUGGGUACCUAACAAAACUGAUCCACGCAAGCAAGAAGAAUUUUCAAGGUUCCAGGUCGGAGAGUUCACACAAAUAAAACAUGUAAUUCAAGUUCUGACCUAAUUAAGUAUCAAAUUAGUUGUGAAAUCCAAAAUUUUAAAAUAAUUUUAAAAAGUUUAAAAUCUAAAAAAGUCGUUAUCGGUGGGCAAGUGCUACAAAAGUAGAAAUCGGAGAAAGCAGGUGAGGAGAAAGCAAGGUCUAUAGAUUGUCUGGCUGACAUUAUGCGAGAAAAGUGAGCAGAUAAUCUGGCAUUUGGUAGGAGACCUAGCAGCUGUCUUGGCCGUAAUUAUUCUUUCUUUUUUUAAAUUCGUGACUCGCUAUGUGAUUUUAAAUCAAUUUUUGUUUGUGUAAAGACAAUGUGCAACGAAUAACAUACAAUUUUACACCAAAGAUAACGUACACCACUGCUUAACUCACAUUCAACAAUCUAGUAAAUGCCAACAAGAGUCUAAAGGUGAACAACAACUUUUUUUGGCCUCCGCAAAUAGUGACCUCUACCAAUUAUCCACGACAAUGAACAUCAAUUUAAUGUAAUGUGGUUAUAAUAUGUGACAGUGUUAAUUAGUGGUGGAAAAUGAACUAGGUAAAUUGGGCGAAAAACCACAAGGGAUGAGUGAAUCACUCGAUCUGACUUUCACCACGCUUUCACCACCACCCUUCAAAACAUCCUCAAGACUGCCUCCCACUGAGACAAUUACAAAGUAAAAAGUAAAUCACUAAUCAUCAUGCAUCGUGGACCAAGAUGGGAAGUCCAAGAACAAGAGACUCAUCUAAUGGUAAUAACGAUAAGAUGCAUUCGUUGCUCUGCACGACAUUUUACAUUAUCCUGACUCGGGAUGAAUGAACUUGGGAGCAAUCCAAUAAAACUACCCGGGUAUCUAUGCAACCCGACCUACUUUCACCAAGAGAGAGAGAGUACAUAGGCUUCCUUACACCGAGUGGAGUGGAUUGACUGGGUUCGGGAAGUGAGAGGACCUACUACCUUCUUCUCUACGGUAGGUUAGUGGUGCUGAGCAAAGUCGACAUAGUCAUUAGUACAACAAAAUGUAGUGAAUUCGCAAUACGGUUGAGUUUGGUUAGGUCGGGAACUCGCUGAAUUCAAUAAUUUAUUAAUGUAUUUAUUGACCAUGUCCAAUCUUACUUUAGUUUUUCAUGUAUUUGUAUUGCACCUGAUAUAAUUUUUUUUACCCGAUUAAUGGCUGAUUCCUAAUACCAUAAACCUAUAAUUAUUUAUAAAAUGAUCUAGUUUGAAAUUGGAAAUCAUAAUGUCAGUUAAAUUUGCAUGAAAUUCAUCUUCUUCUUUUUCUAUGAUGCUACUGUACCUGUCUGUUGAGGUCAUACGCAUAGAGUUCUAAUUUUUCUACCAUCUUGCAAUUUGGGAUUCCCAAAUCUCCAAGAUCCCGUUUCACUCAGGUCUUUCAAUUCACUUCGCACCUCACGAUACAGCGACUCUUUAGCCAGGCGCGGCAGUAAAGUUAUAUACAAUUGAUGGUUAAUGGGCUGUGAUUCAGCAAAAAAACUACUUUGUAAAGUGAGGUGGAACAAAACAAGGUGGAAAUAAAAUGUCUUUCAGUCAUCUCGUCAAAUAUCUAGUCGUCGUCUGUCGGGUACCAACAACCAAGGUCUAAAAAAAGCUUCACGGUAACAGUAUAAUAUGUAUACAACUAACUAGUGCUAUUUUUAGAAAACGACUUUUUUUAGUACAUGUCACAUUAUUUUGUAACAAUGUUUUCAUAUCAUAUUCUACUCAAUAAAUGUCAAAUUAGUAAAAGAAA